rnacentral:tRNA from 1 species
UCCUCGUUAGCUCAACUGGCAGACCGCUCCACUGGAAAUGGAGAGGUGCCUGGUUCGGUACCAUGACCAGGCG